UAGAAGACCACUUUUAUGAAAUCUGUGCAUAAAUCUGGCGAAGGGAAUAUUCUAGGCUGAUUACUUGCAGGCGAGUGUAAACCCAGGUGCCGCAGCGGCGCUGGUGUUCCAUCAGCAGUGGUGGUGCUGAGGGACCGCAGCACCUGUUGCUUCCUAACCAACCGGCCCAUGUCUAUGGAUCCGCCGCCACCGCUAAACAAGCCUCCUGUCCGCCUGUGGUUGUGACAGGCCUCGAGCAGCGAUUACGCCGUGGGACUGCUUGUCUAGUGAAGAAUGUGAGUGACUGUACCAUGACCCAAUCGCCCCA